rnacentral:rRNA from 1 species
CGAUGAAGCACCUUCGGGUGUGAAUUAGCGGCGAACGGGUGAGGAACACGUGAGAAAUCUGCCUUCAACACUGGGAUAACUCCGGGAAACCGGGGCUAAUACCGGAUAUGAAAUCUGCGGGCAUCCGCGGAUUUGGAAAGUUUUUCGGUUGAAGAUGAUCUCGCGGCCUAUCAGCUUGUUGGUGAGGUAAUGGCUCACCAAGGCGACGACGGGUAGCCGGCCUGAGAGGGCGACCGGCCACACUGGGACUGAGACACGGCCCAGACUCCUACGGGAGGCAGCAGUGGGGAAUAUUGGGCAAUGGAGGAAACUCUGACCCAGCGACGCCGCGUGCGGGAUGAAGGCCUUCGGGUUGUAAACCGCUUUCAGCAGGGAAGAAGCGAAAGUGACGGUACCUGCAGAAGAAGCACCGGCUAACUAUGUGCCAGCAGCCGCGGUAAUACAUAGGGUGCAAGCGUUGUCCGGAAUUAUUGGGCGUAAAGAGCUCGUAGGUGGUUCGUCACGUCGGAUGUGAAACUCUGGGGCUUAACCCCAGACCUGCAUUCGAUACGGGCGAGCUUGAGUAUGGUAGGGGAGUCUGGAAUUCCUGGUGUAGCGGUGGAAUGCGCAGAUAUCAGGAGGAACACCAAUGGCAAAGGCAGGACUCUGGGCCAUUACUGACACUG